GAUGAAGAACGUAGCGAAAUGCGAUACGUAAUGUGAAUUGCAAAUUCAGUGAAUCAUCGAGUCUUUGAACCCACAUUGCGCCCCCUGGUAUUCCGGGGGGCAUGCCUGUCCGAGCGUCAUUGCUGCCCUCAAGCACGGCUUGUGUGUUGGGUCCCGUCCUCCGAUCCCGGGGGACGGGCCCGAAAGGCAGCGGCGGCACCGCGUCCGGUCCUCGAGCGUAUGGGGCUUUGUCACCCGCUCUGUAGGCCCGGCCGGCGCUUGCCGAUCAACCCAAAUUUUUAUCCAGGUUGACCUCGGAUCAGGUAGGGAUACCCGCUGAACUUAAGCAUAUCAAUAAGCGGAGGA
rnacentral:misc_RNA from 1 species